AUUGAACGCUGGCGGCGUGCCUUACACAUGCAAGUCGAACGGCAGCACGGGAGCAAUCCUGGUGGCGAGUGGCGAACGGGUGAGUAAAGUAUCGGAACGUGCCCAGUCGUGGGGGAUAACGUAGCGAAAGUUACACUAAUACCGCAUACGAUCUAUGGAUGAAAGCGGGGGAUCGCAAGACCUCGCGCGAUUGGAGCGGCCGAUAUCAGAUUAGGUAGUUGGUGGGGUAAAGGCUCACCAAGCCGACGAUCUGUAGCUGGUCUGAGAGGACGACCAGCAACACUGGGACGGGGACACGGCCCAGACUCCUACGGGAGGAAGCAGUGGGGAAGUUUGGACAAUGGGCGAAAGCCUGAUCCAGCCAUGCCGCGUGCAGGACGAAGGCCUUCGGGUUGUAAACUGCUUUUGUACGGAACGAAAAGGUUUGGCCUAAUAAGCUGAGCUCAUGACGGUACCGUAAGAAUAAGCACCGGCUAACUACGUGCCAGCCGCCGCCGCCG
rnacentral:rRNA from 1 species